rnacentral:rRNA from 1 species
CAGGAUGAACGCUAGCUACAGGCUUAACACAUGCAAGUCGAGGGGCAGCAUGGUCUUAGCUUGCUAAGGCCGAUGGCGACCGGCGCACGGGUGAGUAACACGUAUCCAACCUGCCGUCUACUCUUGGACAGCCUUCUGAAAGGAAGAUUAAUACAAGAUGGCAUCAUGAGUCCGCAUGUUCACAUGAUUAAAGGUAUUCCGGUAGACGAUGGGGAUGCGUUCCAUUAGAUAGUAGGCGGGGUAACGGCCCACCUAGUCUUCGAUGGAUAGGGGUUCUGAGAGGAAGGUCCCCCACAUUGGAACUGAGACACGGUCCAAACUCCUACGGGAGGCAGCAGUGAGGAAUAUUGGUCAAUGGGCGAGAGCCUGAACCAGCCAAGUAGCGUGAAGGAUGACUGCCCUAUGGGUUGUAAACUUCUUUUAUAAAGGAAUAAAGUCGGGUAUGGAUACCCGUUUGCAUGUACUUUAUGAAUAAGGAUCGGCUAACUCCGUGCCAGCAGCCGCGGUAAUACGGAGGAUCCGAGCGUUAUCCGGAUUUAUUGGGUUUAAAGGGAGCGUAGAUGGAUGUUUAAGUCAGUUGUGAAAGUUUGCGGCUCAACCGUAAAAUUGCAGUUGAUACUGGAUAUCUUGAGUGCAGUUGAGGCAGGCGGAAUUCGUGGUGUAGCGGUGAAAUGCUUAGAUAUCACGAAGAACUCCGAUUGCGAAGGCAGCCUGCUAAGCUGCAACUGACAUUGAGGCUCGAAAGUGUGGGUAUCAAACAGGAUUAGAUACCCUGGUAGUCCACACGGUAAACGAUGAAUACUCGCUGUUUGCGAUAUACGGCAAGCGGCCAAGCGAAAGCGUUAAGUAUUCCACCUGGGGAGUACGCCGGCAACGGUGAAACUCAAAGGAAUUGACGGGGGCCCGCACAAGCGGAGGAACAUGUGGUUUAAUUCGAUGAUACGCGAGGAACCUUACCCGGGCUUAAAUUGCAGAUGAAUUACGGUGAAAGCCGUAAGCCGCAAGGCAUCUGUGAAGGUGCUGCAUGGUUGUCGUCAGCUCGUGCCGUGAGGUGUCGGCUUAAGUGCCAUAACGAGCGCAACCCUUGUUGUCAGUUACUAACAGGUUCCGCUGAGGACUCUGACAAGACUGCCAUCGUAAGAUGUGAGGAAGGUGGGGAUGACGUCAAAUCAGCACGGCCCUUACGUCCGGGGCUACACACGUGUUACAAUGGGGGGUACAGAGGGCCGCUACCACGCGAGUGGAUGCCAAUCCCCAAAACCUCUCUCAGUUCGGACUGGAGUCUGCAACCCGACUCCACGAAGCUGGAUUCGCUAGUAAUCGCGCAUCAGCCACGGCGCGGUGAAUACGUUCCCGGGCCUUGUACACACCGCCCGUCAAGCCAUGGGAGCCGGGGGUACCUGAAGUGCGUAACCGCGAGGAGCGCCCUAGGGUA